rnacentral:rRNA from 1 species
AUACGUAGGGGGCGAGCGUUGUCCGGAAUGAUUGGGCGUAAAGGGCGCGUAGGCGGCCCGGUAAGUCUGGAGUGAAAGUCCUGUUUUUAAGAUGGGAAUUGCUUUGGAUACUGUCGGGCUUGAGUGUAGGAGAGGUAAGUGGAAUUCCCAGUGUAGCGGUGAAAUGCGUAGAGAUUGGGAGGAACACCAGUGGCGAAGGCGACUUACUGGACUGUAACAGACACUGAGGCGCGAUAGUGAGGGGAGCAAACAGGAUGAGAUACCCUGGUAGUCCACACUGUAAACGAUGAGUGCGAAUUGUUGGAGGGUUUCCGCCCUUGAGUGCUGCAGCGAACGAAUUAAGCACUCCGCCUGGGGAGUACGACCGCAAGGUUGAAACUCAAAUGAAUUGACGGGG